UACGAAGGGGGCUAGCGCUGCUCGGAAUCACUGGGCGUAAAGGGUGCGUAGGCGGGUCUUUAAGUCAGGGGUGAAAUCCUGGAGCUCAACUCCAGAACUGCCUUUGAUACUGAAGAUCUUGAGUUCGGGAGAGGUGAGUGGAACUGCGAGUGUAGAGGUGAAAUUCGUAGAUAUUCGCAAGAACACCAGUGGCGAAGGCGGCUCACUGGACCGGAACUGACGCUGAGGCGCGAAAGCGUGGGGAGCAAACAGG
rnacentral:rRNA from 1 species